UAUUAAAAUUUUUAUUUAAUUUUAUUGUUAAAAACUGGCAUAACUGACAAAAUAACCAAACAAUUACAUUUGCAUAUCACGUGUACCUUAUAUCGAUGUUUAUGGACUCGUUUUCAACAAUAGAAAUAUAUGAAAUUUUUAACA
rfam:Gossypium arboreum cultivar AKA8401 contig_39779_1, whole genome shotgun sequence.